CAGCCGUAAACUAUGCGCGUUAGGUGUAUCGGUGACCACGAGUUACCGAGGUGCCGAAGGGAAACCGUGAAACGUGCCGCCUGGGAAGUACGGUCGCAAGGCUGAAACUUAAAGGAAUUGGCGGGGGAGCACCACAACAGGUGGAACCUGCGGUUUAAUUGGACUCAACGCCGGGAAGCUCACCGGAUAGGACAGCAGAAUGAUUGCCGGGCUGAAGACCCUGCAUGACUAGCUGAGAGGAGGUGCAUGGCGUCAGUGACU
rnacentral:rRNA from 1 species